AUCAUCGUGGCCUCUUCUGUGUCAUGUGAUUUGUUCUGACAAUUCCAAGGCGCAAUUUAUACAGGUCUUCAAAGGUUCCUGAUGUAGAUGUAGCUUGUAGCUACUGCUCCAGCACCUGCCUGCAUGCCACCAGCUCCCCACCGGGAUGGUAAUGGACUAGACGUCUGAAACUUUCACAGGACUUCGAGCAACUUGGAAUUAUCUUGUGCCAGGGACGUGAUUGGGAUUCUCAGUGCAACCACGCUGAAUGACAACUAUAAAUGGGUAAAC